GGGAUACCCAAAAUGGGAGCACUUUCCCUUUUGUCUGUGCUGGGAAGUGCUUCGAUUUUGGGGUGUCCC
ensembl:miRNA